CUACGGGGGGCUGCAGUAAGGAAUAUUGGGCAAUGGACGCAAGUCUGACCCAGCCAUGCCGCGUGAAGGAUGAAGGUCCUCUGGAUUGUAAACUUCUUUUAUCUGGGGCGAAAAACACCUUUUCUAAGGUGCUUGACAGUACCAGAGGAAUAAGCACCGGCUAACUCCGUGCCAGCAGCCGCGGUAAUACGGAGGGUGCAAGCGUUAUCCGGAUUCACUGGGUUUAAAGGGUGCGUAGGCGGGCAGGUAAGUCAGUGGUGAAAUCCCCGAGCUUAACUCGGGAACUGCCGUUGAUACUAUCUGUCUUGAAUACCGUGGAGGUGAGCGGAAUAUGUCAUGUAGCGGUGAAAUGCUUAGAUAUGACAUAGAACACCAAUUGCGAAGGCAGCUCGCUACACGGUCAUUGACGCUGAGGCACGAAAGCGUGGGGAUCAAACAGGAUUAGAUACCCGGGUAGUC
rnacentral:rRNA from 1 species